UGGAAUGAGAUGGGAUUGUACAGAUCAUCGAAACCGAAUAAUUCUCUCUGUUAGAUUGAUUACUAAGUCCUUUUGUAAAUGCUCUUUUAUGAAGCCUCCCUGGCUAGCAACGAUUCUACCGUUGUUAUAGAUUAGCAAUAUAUUUUUCCUUGGUAAAUGUGGACUAUGGACAUCGCUGAAGUUGAAGAAAAUUUAUUUGCAGCAAGUGAUGCUAAGCUACAUGGAGUAAUGUGCAAGGCACUCUCUGUAAUAUAUUGCAAAAUCGUGUCAAUUGUCAGUUUUCCCUUCUUUGGAAGCAGCACGACCUAGGAGCAAAUCUGGCAUUCAAGCAUUAUG
rnacentral:misc_RNA from 1 species